GACGAACGCUGGCGGCGUGCUUAACACAUGCAAGUCGAACGGUAAGGCCCUGCAGUUUUGUUGUUCUCGGGUGGCUAACGGGUGAGUAACACGUGACUAACCUGCCCCUUACUUUGGGAUAACUUCAGGUAACUGCGGUUACUACUAGAUCGUAGCUCCUCCUGAAUGGUGGGGGGUGGAUAGUGUCGGCGGGUGGGGAUGGACGCGGGGGUUAUCAGCUUGUUGGUGGGGUGGUGGCUUACCCAGGCUUUGACGUAUAGCCGGCCUGUGAGGGGGACCGGCGACAAGAGGACUGAGGGAGGGAGCAGAGGGGAACGGGGGGCAGUGGGGGGGAAUAUGGCACAGUGGGCGGAAGCCUGAGGAAGAAGCGCCGGGUGCGGGAAGAAGGCCUUCGGGGGGUAAACCGCUUUAGCCUGUGACGAAGCGUGAGUGACGGUAAUGGGUAAAGAAGCACCGGCUAACUACGUG
rnacentral:rRNA from 1 species